AGGAAGCAGUGUGUAAUGAUGCUUUCUGAAGUAUCUGCUCUAGAUCUGACGUGCAGCAGUGCCCAAUAUACCCUGGCACUUCUCUCUACCUCCAGUGACACCAUAGAGCCGGAUAUGUGGUAGAAUGGCUUGCACGGUGUUCAGAAAAUAGUGUGAAAGUGGAACCUACUUUGAUUUCCUCAUUGAAGAGGUGCAUCAGGUGGAGUUUUCUUUUGGCAUCAGCUACAUGGUUUGUAGUAGGUCUUGAAGCCCAUUUUAUAGAGGACUGCUUUGUCACAAAACGGUUAAGGAAAGAAAUUGAUGCUUAAAAUUCAUUUGUAAUGUUAUUAAAUAUUACCAUUUACUUUAUUUUCUGAUUGCAUGAAUAAUAAUAGCAAUAAUAAUGAUAAUAAUAUCAACAAUUACUUCUUGUUUUAUUAUGAUAUAUAACAUACAUAUGCAUAUCUUUUCAUCUGCAGUUCCUGGCUCAUAAUUACCUCCCUAACACAUGCAACAGAUUCUAGAAUUUCUCUUCCACAAGAGACAGAGAAGUCUGACAUACAAAGGGAAGAUCAAAGAAGACUGAACUUGCAGUGAUACUGCCAUAAAACCAGGAAAGCAACAUCCACCAGGAAAGCUGCAAGAGAGGCAAAGAAGACGUCUGUUUUCUUGCCGAUACCAGAGGACUUUAUCUCCACCUCCCUAUAAAGUGUGAGCACUGUGUUUCAGCGAGCUGCAUUGCGGACUUCUGCUGAAAACUUCUGUAAACACAACUGCCUUGUUCAGUUUUGUUGUAAACUGACUCACCAUGCGAUGCACUGUCGUUGAUAGCUUCCUGAUGUGUGGUGGAUAAG